GACGAACGCUGGCGGCGUGCUUAACACAUGCGAGUCGUACGGUAAGGCCCUUUCGGGGGUACACGAGUGGCGAACGGGUGAGUAACACGUGAGUAACCUGCCCACAACUUUGGGAUAACGCUAGGAAACUGGUGCUAAUACUGGAUAUGUGCUCCUGCUGCAUGGGGGGGGUUGGAAAGCUCCGGCGGUUGUGGAUGGACUCGCGGCCUAUCGGCUUGUUGGUGGGGUAGUGGCCUACCAAGGCGGCGACGGGUAGCCGGCCUGAGAGGGUGACCGGCCACCUUGGGACUGAGAUGCGGCCCAGACUCCUACGGGAGGCAGAAGUGGGGAAUAUUGCACAAUGGGCGCAAGCCUGAUGCAGCAGCGCCGCGUGCGGGAUAACGGCCUUCGGGUUGUAAACCGCUUUCAGCAGGGACGAAGCUUUUUGUGACGGUACCUGCAGAAGAAGCACCGGCUAACUACGUG
rnacentral:rRNA from 1 species